GUCGUAGUUGGGAACAGGAAGUUCCGGGUAGAAAACGACAGAACUGUGCUGUUAUGUCUAUAGUGGUUGUGUCCGUUUCAAAUGUAUUAUUACAGACCGACUCAGAUUAAGUCUGAGUCCGUUAACAUAAACAGCGAGGUCAAACCUACAGUCACUGGGUCCUGAUUGUGACAGUGGACCCCAGUUUGCACUGCAGGAUCCAGAGAUGGCAUCAGUGAAGCUGGAAGACUGCAGUCAAACACUGGAGCUGAAUGUCAUCAUUAAAGAUGAAGAAGAGGAGGAGGAGAUUGGUACAUCUGUUAGUCAUGACCGACUCAGAUUAAGUCUGAGGCCGGUAACAUCAACAGUGAGGACAAACCCAGCCUGCCUCUCUCCUUCCACACUGAGUCCAAACCUACAGUCACAGGGUCCUGAUUGUGACAGUGGAGCCCAGUUUGCACUGCAGGAUCCAGAGAUGGCAUCAGUGAAGCUGGAAGACUGCAGUCAAACACUGGAGCUGAAUGUCAACAUUAAAGAGGAGGAGAAGUUUAGGACAACUGUUAGUCAUGGAGACCAUGUUGAGAUAUUCUCUACAUCCAGAGAGCAACAGCAGGAAGAUCACAGAGCUAAGAGGUCUCAUCACUGCCCACAUUGUAAAGAGAUUUUCCCAUUUCUAUCAAAGCUAAAAAUACACCUAAAAAUACACACAGGAGAGAAGCCUUACUCCUGCUCUGACUGUGGAAAAUGCUUCAAAACAUCAACGGUGCUAAAACUUCAUCAGAGAACACACACAGGAGAGAAGCCUUAUUACUGCUCUGACUGUGGAAAACGUUUUAAAACAUCAACUCAGCUAAAAGUUCAUCAGAGAACACACACAGGAGAGAGGCCUUUCUUCUGCCCUGACUGUGGAACUAGUUUCUCUCAACUUUCCCACUUAAAAACACAUGAACGUAUACAUACAGGGGAGAAGCCUUAUUACUGCCCUGACUGUGGAAAACGUUUUAAAACAUCAAAUGAGCUAAAAGUUCAUCAAAGAACACACACAGGAGAGAAGCCUUACGUCUGCUCUGACUGUGGAAAAUGCUUCACAACAUCAACUGAUCUAAAAGUUCACCAGAGAACACACACAGGAGAGAAGCCUUAUUCCUGCUCUGACUGUGGAAAGAGUUUUUCUCACCAGUGCAACUUAAAAACUCACCAACGUAUACAUUAAGGAGAAAAGCCACAUCAGUUCUCUCAGACCAGCCACCAGUCACUCCAUCACUUAAUUCUCAUCUCAUAAAGGAAGUGGUAACAUUGAAUGAAGCUUAGAACACUAUUGUAAUCUUAUUGUUUCUCACUGUGAGAGAACUGUCCAGUGGAAAGGAAGAGUUCUAGAAUGUUAGCCUCUUUACUUUACUGAUUAGUGUGCUCCUUUAGUUUUGGUGUGCUUUGUUAGAUUCUACUGUAAACAUAUUGAGAUGACCUUGGAUUUGCCCGUAGUGUUGAAUACCCUCUGUGAGGCUUCUCAUUUUAAAAACAGGCUGUGUUUGAAUACUCAUACUAACCACACUAUUUGUGACGUGGAGUAUAUAGUAUGCUUAUUGGUCAUAGUAUGGAUAUAGUUAGCAUCCAAUUCGCCAAAAUACGAAGUAUACACACAAAGGACACUUUAUGUACUUUUAGGGCCCAUAAUGCAAUUCCUCAACAAAAAAAAGGGGGUGUCGCUUCACGUGUUCAGAUUUGAAGAAAAUGGGGGGAAAAUAUGCAGCCAAAGUCCGUUGAGAGCGAAUACAAAUUAAUUUCUUUAACUAAUUAUGACAAAUGUUAAGAAAAUGUUGAGCAAUGUAAUUAAGUAAUGACUUUUCUAAUAAGUUACGUUACACUUUAUGUUGGCUGACAAUUUGUUAGCUACGCUAUCCUUAGGAACUGCAUAGCAUUACAGCAGUAUGUACUGGUAUGUUAGCUACGCUAUCCUUAGGAACUGCAUAGCAUUACAGCAGUAUGUACUGGUAUGUUAGCUACGUUAUCCUUACGAACUGCAUAGCAUUACAGCAGUAUGUACUGGUAUGUUAGCUACGCUAUCCUUAGGAACUGCAUAGCAUUACAGCAGUAUGUACUGGUAUGUUAGCUACGCUAUCCUUAGGAACUGCAUAGCAUUACAGCAGUAUGUACUGGUAUGUUAGCUACGCUAUCCUUAGGAACUGCAUAGCAUUACAGCAGUAUGUACUGGUAUGUUAGCUACGCUAUCCUUAGGAACUGCAUAGCAUUACAGCAGUAUGUACUGGUAUGUUAGCUAACGUGAGUUGGAUACUAAUAUUGUUACAUGGAACUUGCCAGGCAGUAUAUUAACUAACUAACUAACCAACAUUUAUUGACUUGAUUAUUCACAUCAUUCUAUACUGUAGUCAUUGUGUGUUUCAAUGGACAUUGUUAAUUCUGGCUAUCUACUCCGAUUUCAGAACACUCUUGCGCAGAAUGACUGAUGAAUUUACAAACGCUCAACACCCGUCGAAUAUAGCUGGUGUCAAUAAACAUCGGCAAAAGAAAGCCUAAUAAGUUAUUGCUAGCAGUCACCAACUCUCUGGAUUACAUGAAAACAGUCUAACCAGUUCUGCUAUGGCAAGUAAAAUGGUCAGUGAGGUGUUCUCUCAUUUGUGUUUGGAAGUAGCUAGCAAACAUUAGCCAGUUAGCUUGGGUGCUUGACUGCCGUUGAAUGCUCGGAUCUACUCUACUCCUCAGCUAGACCGUCCAGUGUGGCUCUGAACGCUCCGAGAGCGAAACGCUCUGAAUUUAUGAACGCCCAGAGCGCACUCUGGCACUCCAGAUUGAAUUUACAAACACACCCCAAAUCUUCAAAUGUUUAGCUAGUUAUUUGUUAUGCUAGCAAGAGGUUGCAUAGCAACAGCAUCCGGAAGACAGGCAAAGCUCUCGUACGCUCGACUGAAACUAUACCGUUCGUUCACAGUAUACUAAAAUGAACUUAUAGUAUGUAGUAUAUACUCAUUUAGUAUACAGUAUGUUAGUAUGGGUAUUCGAACACAGCUAUAGUCUGCCAGUUGACUGGGUGUUACUGCUUCCCUCUCAGCCUGGUCUGAUUCUGUCUGUUGGGAGAGUUUCUCUACAGUUUUACUGUUUUUACUUGUUUUUAUUCAGGUGCCAGUGUCUCAGUUGCUAUGGUGCCCUGAGGACAAACAUUCCAUCAAUACAACCAAAACAAAAAUAUAUCUUUUUUUUUUUUUAGCUACAAGACAGCUAUAAAUACAUAACAUCAGGUUAUUACAAUAAGUUAUAAUAAUCAUUUGAAACAAUUGCACACUUCAGUGAACUCAUUUAACAACAGUUGUGAACUGCUCUAUCGGCACCAGGGAAUCCAGCUGGAAUUUGUUUUGUAAGGUAUUCUAUAACUGUGAUGCGUUAACUAAAGGUGGAUUUACCAAACUUUGAAGACGAGCGGGGACCAACCCUGCGAACGGGUCUGGCAUCUCAUCUUUAAUAUUUCAAGAGGGAAGUGAGGUAUGUUGGAAGCUUGUGGAGAUGGAAGCUUUGUAAACGAGAAGGGAGUAAUGAAGGGAUCUAUGGGACUUCCAUGAGGAAGUGACCUCUUGACCUUCUGAUACAGGAUGCAAUGAUGAGUAUUAAAACUGUCACCUGUAAUAAAGCAAAGGGUGCUAUGGUAGACGGCAUCCAGUGGUUUAAGAGUAGUGGCUGCUGCAUUCUGGUAAAUGGUGUCACCAUAUUGAAUAACUGUCAGGAUUGCAUGAAAACACAAAUGUAUGCAUUUUAACUAAUUAGCAACUUUGCAACUACUUACUACUUCUUAGCAUGCAACUACUUAGCAUGUUAGCUAACUCUUCCCCUAAUCUGGCUAACUUUAGCAACAACAAAUUGGAAUUCGUAAUAUAGUACAAAUUAGUAACAUAUGUUACGCAUUGCUAUUCAUACAAUAUGGACGGCAGGGUAGCCUAGUGGUUAGAGUGUUGGACUAGUAACCGGAAGGUUGCAAGUUCAAACCCCCGAGCUGACAAGGUACAAAUCUGUCGUUCUGCCCCUGAACAGGCAGUUAACCCACUGUUCCUAGGCCGUCAUUGAAAAUAAGAAUUUGUUCUUAACUGACUUGCCUGGUUAAAUAAAGGUAAAAAAAUAUAUAUAUAUGAAUUGUCAUUUAACAUACCAUAUGUCCUAUAAUUUUAUAUUAUACGACCAUUAUUACAUUGGUAGGCCAACAUAACAUAUCAUACUAAACGGAGUAACACAAAGUUUUGUAACAUAUAAUAGGUUUUGCUCUGAGACCAGGUUGUCCCUCUCAGUUCUCUAUGGGAAUGAGUUAGUAGACAACAUGUAUCAGAUAGAGAUGGUGUGAUGAUCACUUUUCACCAUUAGUUUGGGGGGAUUAUUUUACAACUUUAUUUAAUGAUACACAGGUUAUGAAAUGAAUACAUGUGUUUAUUAAUUGUCUUUAAAACUAGAUGAGUUAUUUUAGUUACUGAUCAUGAAUGUGUUUGGAUAACUGCAUUGAAGCAAACUUUAUUGAUCUGCCAAUGAAAAAUAAAGUUACCUGAAUAUGUA